rnacentral:rRNA from 1 species
UACGUAGGGUGCGAGCGUUAAUCGGAAUUACUGGGCGUAAAGCGCACGUAGGCGGUUUUUUAAGUCAGAUGUGAAAGCCCCGGGCUCAACCUGGGAAUUGCAUUUGAAACUGGAAAACUAGAGUGUGUGAGAGGGGGGUAGAAUUCCAAGUGUAGCGGUGAAAUGCGUAGAGAUUUGGAGGAAUACCAGUGGCGAAGGCGGCCCCCUGGCACAACACUGACGCUCAGGUGCGAAAGCGUGGGGAGCAAACAGG